GGCUUAAAUGCUAAAUCUGACAGCCUCCAGGUUUUAGGUAUUAUUGAACCAGAAAUCAAGAACAAACAGAUCUAAGUUCAGAUGAGCUCAGUUAGUGAUUUGACCCUAACAGGCCAGAUUCAUUUUGGUUAUUAUGUCUGCAUCUGGCUCCAGCUGCUAGUAGUUUGAAGCUCUGUUGCAAUGUGGCAAUAGCCUUCAAAUGACAGACAUGAUUUCUAAGAAAUUCUCAGAGGCAAAUUAUAAAAAGUAUGGCAUUCCAGAAGUAAA
rnacentral:lncRNA from 1 species